rnacentral:rRNA from 1 species
AACUCUCAACAACGGAUAUCUUGGCUCCCGUAACGGAUGAAGAACGCAGCGAAAUGCGAUACGUAGUGUGAAUUGCAGAAUUCCGUGAACCAUCGAAUCUUUGAACGCAAAUUGCGCUCGAGGCUUCGGCCAAGAGCAUGUCUGCCUCAGCGUC